rnacentral:lncRNA from 12 species
AUGAGCAGCGGGUUGCUUCCCUCUCGGCAGAGGCACAAGUGGCAGGCACCCAGAGUGGCGCUAAGCGUGACAGCCAUCAUAGCCAUGAUGAGCCGAGCUCCCCAAUCAGUCCCCCACCUCCCUGCCCUGGGCAGGGGGCCUCCAUCCACAUGGAGCCAGAGAAGGGGCCCCGUGGGUCGGGCUCAGACCCGCCUCCUCCCUACUGACCCCAGAGGGAACUGGGCAGCUCCUGGCACACAGCAGGGCCUCCAUGAAUGGCCUGGGGUUAAAAUGACCUCGGCCCGAGUGAGAGGGCAUUCAGAGGAUGGAGAGAGCCAGGAGCGGUUUCUGGAGCCAGAGCUGAGCUGUCACAGCCCCAGCUGGGAGGGAAAGAGCCAGUCACUACGUGCCAAGGGCCAGCGAGUCCAUGUGUCCCGGUUCCGGCGCUGCCCCUGCCCCCUUGCCAGACGGGGGCCAAGAAUUUCUGCAGCUGGUGUCCUGAUGCCUGGCUCCAGGGACCCCGGGGACGUUGGGCUGCCUUCCCACAACGGGAGGCCACGGGUCCUCACAAAUUGUCCCAAAGAUGUGUCAGACCCUUCCUGGGCCCACCUCCCUGCCCCAGGGCUGGGCCAGGCCCCCGUUCAUACUGUGACCUCACCCUCCAGCACCAUUCCAAGUCCUACUCAUUCUUCAAGACCUGCUAGAGCCCCAUCUAGGCCUUUCGGGGCCCUGCCGCUGAGAGCUUUGGCUGCUUCUGGCUCCCACCCCUCGUGGGACAGGUUCCAAAGCCCAGGCAGGGGAAGACCACACCCUGGCCAGGUGCAUGCUCGUGCCAGGCACACAGGCGUGUGGAGGCCCAGAGCCCGCUUCAUCCAGGUGGGCCUUUCUGGGGUCUCCAGGCUGGUGCUGAAGGGACCAGGGUCACCCCCUGCCCCCUGGAAGCUCCCUCGGCAAACUGCCAUUGCCCAACUGGGGAGGCCGAGACUCAGAGACAGGCCUGCCCGAAUCAGGGGCCCCUCAGGCCUCCUCACCCCAGACCAAGAAGAAGACUUGGGCCUUCUGUCCGGGAAGUCUGGGGGACAAGCCCCUCUCGCAGGCCCCCUGAUGCCUGGCUGGGGCUCUAGGCAGCUGACUCCCAAGAUCCCUCCACCAGUGGCCCCUGCUGACUGCAAAACAAGGUUCCUGUGCCCAGCCAGGGCUGUGGCUGCCCUGAGCCACCCUCCCCCACUGAGGGGACAGGCAUGGGGGGCAGAGGUCAGCACUGCAGACUGGGACGGCUGAGCCCAGUGCACAGCUGGGAAGACCGAGGUCCAGAGGCUGCUAGCUCAAGCCUUCUCGGGACCCCUUAACUGCCCAGGUCCAGCACCCUGGGGACAGGGGCAGGGCUAAGCAUCAUCCUCCCGCUGGCCCACCAUGGCAGGGCCUCCCUUCCCUGUGCCCUUGUGGGGAGGUAGGUGUGAGGGGUCUGCAGCUCCCGAACUCCAGGACGGCAGGGCUGGGUUGGGACUCUGCUCUGUAAGGCAGGUGCUGGAGCCAAGGCACCACAGCAGGAAGGCUCAUGGGGCAGCACCUCUGCUGCUCGGGACUGCCCCCUGCAGGCCCAGGAGGACAGCAGCGCCCUGUAGCACCAAAGGGUGUCCCUUCCCAGCCUUAGCAUCAUCCCCUGAACCCCACCGCACCCCCCAUGCCCGCUCCUCGGCCCAGACUGCCCCGCACUGGGGAAGGCCAAGCAGGAUUUGCAGGGGCCGAGGGAAUGAUGGGGUUACAUGCAUCUGGGUUACCCCCGAGGCCUGGGCGUCCAGAUGAGGGCCCGUCCACCUGAGAUGCCCUGGGCAGGGAAACAGCAGGGGUGCCGGAGCCACACACACGUGCACUUGCACACGACACCUCACACACGCAUAGGCUCACGUGUCCACAGACACUUGCUUGUCCACAGGAUCCCGCACUCACCACAUGCCCAGACGCCCACAGCACUCACCACAGGUAGCAGCCCUGGUGCUCCACGGGCCCAGACUGGCUCUCCCUUGGGCCAGCUCCCUGGACAGUCCAGCCAGGCAGGACCACAGCUGGCCCCAAAGCCUGGGGAGACCCGGCCCAUCUCUCCUACACACUCCACGGGGACCCCAGCCUGGCCUCCUCCCCAGCCCAGCUGAGAGGGGCUGAGGCACCAGGCCAGGAGGGGCGUUGGGGUGUGGGAAAGGCCCUCCCCCACUCCAACAGCCAGAGCCCUGGAAUGUGCUGACCACAGCCCCAGCCUAAUCCCAGCACAGAGCCCCAUGGG